GAUGAACGCUGGCGGCGUGCCUAAUACAUGCAAGUCGAGCGAACAGACGAGGAGCUUGCUCCUCUGACGUUAGCGGCGGACGGGUGAGUAACACGUGGAUAACCUACCUAUAAGACGGGGAUAACUUCGGGAAACCGGAGCUAAUACAGGAUAAUAUAUUGAACCGCAUGGUUCAAUAGUGAAAGACGGUUUUGCUGUCACUUAUAGAUGGAUCCGCGCCGCAUUAGCUAGUUGGUAAGGUAACGGCUUACCAAGGCAACGAUGCGUAGCCGACCUGAGAGGGUGAUCAGCCACACUGGAACUGAGACACGGUCCAGACUCCUACGGGAGGCAGCAGUAGGGAAUCUUCCGCAAUGGGCGAAAGCCUGACGGAGCAACGCCGCGUGAGUGAUGAAGGUCUUCGGAUCGUAAAACUCUGUUAUUAGGGAAGAACAAAUGUGUAAGUAACUAUGCACGUCUUGACGGUACCUAAUCAGAAAGCCACGGCUAACUACGUG
rnacentral:rRNA from 1 species